UUUUCGCUGUAAAAUGAGCCAACAGGUUUUUCUGUUGCAGCGUGUUUACCGUCUUCAGCACACGCCCUGCUGCUCUUCACAGACACUGCAGCAUAUUUUCAGCUGAGAGACUCAAACACAGGCUUUGUGUUGUUUUCCUCUCUGGUUUUAAAUCUGUUAAACGCAGACUUUAAACUAAAUUUUCUUUUUAGAAGAAGCUUCCUGCUGCUUUGUGGGACCUCCAGCUGUUGCACUCUGCAUUGACCUGACCCUGACACGUGUGACUGUGCAGUGAUUCAUUGUCUGAACUGGUUUAGCCGUUGGGUGUGAAAAUCUGCCGGAGAAGAUGUUUGCUGCUGAAGCUAAAGCAUUUGUCCAGACGCUGGGAGGAACAGACCUCAUCUCUAAUGAUAACUUAAACUGUAAAAUGGAUCUGCUGACUCUGGUCAAAGUCACUGAGGGAAUUUUUUGGCCGGUACAGAAGUACAAAGUGAUACACUAUAGCCUGCCCGAGCUCACCGAGGAAGAAAACUUCUCUCCAGAUUACACCGAGGAAGUCUUGGUAGAGGACUUUAGGAUCACUACAGAGAAGAGUGGGAGUGGAGGUAUAGGUGGAGAAUGCAGUAAUGUGGGUGAAGCUUAUAUUAAUGCCAGCACUAGUUCUGUGGAUGGACUGGUUCAGCCCGUCAGCAUGAUGACAAAGAAGGCCAAUGUUAAAACUGUGGUGAGCAGAUUCAAGGGCAGGAAAAUACACAAGGAUACCUUGAACCUGCUGGGACUGAAAGAGAAGGAUAAACUGAUGUUUGUCUCUCAAAUAGUUUACAACUCCAGUCCUGUCAAAAUUAUUAGAAAGUCUACGACUGAUGGCUCCAUUUUCACUUCUUAUGUAAAGAUGCUGAGUGUCUUUGCAAAGGGGAGCAGUAAGGCGGAGACAAGCUUCACUGUGCCAGCAAAAUCCAUCUUUGCUUAUAGCCUGGUGGAGAUAAAGAUAGAGAAUGAGAAACUGAAGAUCUCAUGUGAGCCAUGGACUCGUAGUUUACUCGAUUGGCUCCUUUGUGAUGACGUAAGCAAUCCAACUGUGAAAAAAGUAAAAGAAGAACUAGAGAUGAAGGAAGCUCUACUGCAGCCGCUGGCAGAUCUUCCUGAGUCGACCCGUUGUGAUCUGCUGCAAACACUCAGCAAGCUCGUAGAGGAUGGAGACAAUCUCUCUCUGCUGGAUAAAACACUGGAUCAUUGCAGUAAUGGAGUGUUUGAGUGUGAGUCUGAGGCUGUCUCUUCCUUCAUGGACCUUCUCAAUGUCUCAAACAUCUCCACAAGUGAGCAGAAUGCUGUUCAUAUGUUGGUCAGCGCUCUGCACACUCUGCCAGAUGAAGUGCCGCCACUUCUGACCUGCUGCAGUCCAGACACUCUGAGAGUGCUCAAUCAGCUGGUGGAUGGUCUGAAGGACGGUCGGGCCAAACUGCCAGAGUCCCUGCCCGUCCCCCUGCAGGAGGGAGGGGAGCUCCGCUGGGCGGCCGAGUUCAUCUGUUUGAACGAUCAGAAGCUGAAAGAGUUGAGUGACGGCUGGGACCGGCCCGAGCUGCCCCCAGAGGUUCUGCUGGAGGUUCUGUGCCUCGCUGUGCAGGGACUCAGCCUGAUGCAGCCCACAACAAACCCUUAAUGUCAGCUGCUGUGAUCUUUGUUAAUGUGCUUUUACAGCAGCCGAUGCUUGUGAUGGUUCAGUGUCCAGUCAGGUGAAUACAGCAUAGUUUUGAUGUCCAUGGUUGAUUCAACAAUUGGUGAACUUUAUUUCAAUGUCUCACUCUGAUUUUGUUUCUUGUAUAACUCUGUCAUCUUUCAAAGAGACAAAAAGACAAAAAUAACCAACAGAAUUCACAUUUUAUUAAAGUAACAUACUUUUAUUAAGUUAUUUACAUUAUUGUUAUAGUUUAUGUCAUGGUUCCUGUAAUUUGAUGGUUUUCUUGGAUUCUUUGUGUUUGCAGACCCCACUUUAAUCAUCUGGUCUCCAACCUCUUCGUGUUCAUUUUGAGGUUUUUUUUUAACAAGUUCUUCAUAAAUACUUUUUAAAUUCCUGGUUAUUAAAGGUUUGAAAUUAUGUGAGGGAACAAGUGGAACAGUUUUUCUAUUAGAAUGAAAAAAGAAUGUUUAAAAACAUGAAUGAUGAUGCAUGAUUAAGGCUGGAAAUAAAGUUAAUACUUAGAGAAUAGUUGUAAUUUUGGGGGCAAGUCAGAAAAUCAUACACACUGUAUGGAACAUAUAACAAUUAGAAUGAGCUGCCUACCUAUAUCAUUUUUAGGAAAAUCUCAUCUUAAAUUCUGUAAUCCUAAAGUGUAUAUGCUAAACGCUGAUCUAAAAUGGGAUUGUGCUAAUGAGAGCUUAAUGUCAUGCUCAGAGGUAAAAACAGGGUCAACAAUGUAAAUGAUAUAACACAGUGAUGAGGUGUUACACCCUCUGUAACCCCUACUUGCCUUGUACUGAGUCUGAGCGUCUGGGUGUUGUUGAGGCAUAAUUGCUAAUUAUCUGCACCAGAUGAGGUGUGGCGGGUGGCAUGUCUGGGGAGAGUUUGGGGGAUGUUACUUCUAGCCUUGAAAGAAGGUUGUUAUUUUUGAUUGGAUGUUAUUUGGUCAUUUAAACUAAAAACCAAGGUUUCUGCAAAGUUUGGUAUCAGUAUCCACUUCAUGUUGCAGGUUCAUGUCCAGAUCCAAUGAUGAAGUAAUAUAGUAAAUAUAUGUUUGGCUCGAUGAACAUGCACGAAACAUUUUAUCAGAAUGAUGAAUCAUUUAAUUUUUGCUGGUUUCAGCAUAAAACACAUCUGAUAAGAAGCCUCAAUAAUGUCACAUACUUAAACUUAGGUUGGGCCAGGAGUGAUUGACCUGAUGAUCUUAACGCUCAGCGAGGAGUGUACAGAUUGAGAAGAUCAGUGAGAUAACUGACUGGGUGCAAUAUUAUUCUGAAUUUUGAAAGGGAGUAGCCAAAUUUUAAACUGACCGCAAUAUUUGAUAGGUAACCAAUUUAAUCAACAAGAGCUGGAGUGAUAGAAUCAAUUUUUCCAGCUCUGGCAAGAAGGUGAGCCGCAGGAUUCUGACAGUUGUAGCCUUUGAAGAGAGACGGAUUGGAGACUACAGUAAAGAGAAUUGCAAUAGUCACACCUGGAGGUCACAAAAGCAUGGAUCAGUUUUUCAAAGUCUCCUGUAUUGUAUAUAACGCUUAGCUUUAGAAAUCUGGCAUAGUUGAAAGAAGCUAGAUUUAACUACAGAUGACACUUUUUUGGGCUUAAAGGAGCUAUCCAAAUAGAUGCCCAGGUUAUUUAUAGAAUCAGAGAGAGAGUUAACAAGGGGCCCCAAUAGGGCAACAAGCUGUUCUUGAAGAAUAUAGAAUAGAAUAGAAUAGAAUUCAACUUUAUUGUCACUGCACAUGUCACAAGUACAAGUGCAACCCAGAGUAAAAUCUGUUUUACUAGAAUUUAGUAAUUUCCUGCACUUAUUUCCUGCCAUUGAACGCAUCACAAAUACAUGACUCCAACCACAUGACUUUGCUCAGCCGAUCGGCUAAUUGGCUGCUGCCAGUCCAAACAAUUUGAUUUAGAUUUUUGAUUUGACCGAUAGUUGUUGAAUAACAAAUGUUGUGAAGCUAUAUAUUAUGUGUAUCCGGUUGUUCAGUCUGACGUCACUAGCCGUGUCUGGGUCUAAACUCCGCUGCAGGUCCAUAUAUCAAACGAUCACUAUGGCAUUACUGAGAGUUGAAAAACUGUCUAAAGUCUUUCAUCUUUAAUAAAAUGAUCAGCGAUCUGCUCUACCAGGUGUAACAAUUGAGUUUAACAUUCAGGCAUCCAUGAAAACGGAAUUUAUGACAUUUAACGGAGUUAGAAGUUAGCAGGGAGUUAGCUCGCUAGCUUCUAUCUAAAUACAAUAUAGCAUGUCCUGACUGCAGGGUUUUGGAAACAAAUUAAAACGUACAGCUCUGCUAUCACUUCCAGCAUAAAUGAAGACAGAAAACUAAACAGCAGUGACGUUUGUAGGGUUACUGAAGUUUGGCUAGCUGGUAUAUAAUGAUGUGCUACGUGACCGCUAGCGACACAGCUAUGUUAGCAUAAUAUAAACAAGCUAACUUUUUUCCCCACUCGAUAAAAGUUAACGUGAGUGUUCUCGUGGUCAGGAACAAAUGUAAUCGCAUGGCAGGAUGCUGUAAAAGGACCAAACUUCAGCCAGGAGAACAACUGAGAUAAUCCAUCCACAAUACGAAGUUAGUCAUUCAUAUACUGCUGCAUGGGCUGGGCUGUAGUUACAUCCUAAGGUUUUAAAAACUGAGCUUAAAUAAAUGAUUAGCGGUAAUAAAAGCCGAGGGAGGUUAACAGUGAUCACUGACUGUUUUAGGAGCUUUUUAAGAUCAAAUAGAAGAAAAUACAUAACAUUAAACAUGUUAACAACACAAAAGCCAUAUUAAACGCAGACUACUUUAGACCCGGAAGUAGGAUUCGUCGCGUCAUCACUGAACAACCGGAUAGCAGUUGAAAUGUUUUAGUUAAAUCCUUAUUGGUUAAAUAUACUGUUUGUUUAUCUAUUUAUAAGUUGUGUAAACAGGAAUAACUUAAUGUAUUUUAGCUUAACUGGCUGACAUUUUUGUAUUAUUCUUGUGAUUUCUUAUUGGCCUUGUUUAUUUAAUGCAGGCCAGGUGAACCUUUUUGGGUAUGGAAAAGGAUGGCGAGCCAAUGAACGGCUAUAGGAGCAGGAAUCAUUCUGCAUUGAAGCUUCCACUGGUUGGGUAAGAAGCUAUCAAAGACGACGCUCUGUCCCCAUUUUCCGAAUACACUGAUUUCCACAAUCAUACACACCAUUCCCCCCGUUUAUGGACAAUAGCACUUGGACAUCUCUCAUGGCCAAUAUGACAAAGAAAUCACAUAUUUGCUUCAAAGGGGUUAAGUGUUCUAAAAUCAUGAAAUCACGAAAACUAGCUUAAUUGUUUUUUGACAUAGUAAAAAACAACAUGUAUCACUUUAGAUUUUAAGCUAAUUGGGCUGAAGGGUGUCUUGUUUCGAUUGGUAAACAGUUCUUAGCAAAUGUAUUUGUCCGCUCCUCAAUGAAAGUUUUAUCCCAAAUAUUGACAGUGUUGAUAAUUAAAGGAAUCCUUUUUGGGUUUUCUGUAAUGGUUAACUGAGCAGUAUAUGCAGGCUAUUUAAAUAAAAUAAUAUUUUUACUGCAAAAAUAUUAUUGAUGUUUUAUCCACAAUUUUUUUUAUUUACAUUUUUACAAAAUAGUCGGAAAAAUAGUCAAGCAUAUUAUUGUGCCUUGAGGCAAUUGCUGUUGUGAUUUGGUGAUAUAUAAAUAUAAUAAAAUAAAACUGAAUUCAGUUAUUAUUAUUAUCUUUAUUAAGAUGCCAAUUUAGAGUUAUUUACUUGCUUACUUGAUUGAUUUCUGAUUUCUCAGUGUGCCGGCUUAAUUUUGGGUAAAGAAACAUUAAUUCAGUUUGUCAAUUGCCUAAUAAAAAAACAACAAUUAUUGUGUUAAAAAGCUUUUGGCAUGUUUCUAAAAUAUUUGUAUUUUCAUGCAUUUACGACGGGUGGUCUAAUAAAUUUGCUCACUCCCGCACUUCAGGCAGGAGAUCUUGCAUGUUUAUGCAUUUACAGUGGCUUGAAAAAGUAUUUGAACUUUCCCACAUUUUGUCACAUUACAGCCACAACCAUGAAUCAAUUUUAUUGGAAUUCCACGUGAAAGACCAACACAAAGUGGUGUACACGUGAGAAGUGGAACGAAAAUCAUACAUGAUUCCAAACAUUUUUCCAAACAUUCCAAACAAAUAAAUAACUGAAAAGUGGGGUGUGUGUAAUUAUUCAGCCCCCUUUGGUCUGAGUGCAGUCAGUUCUCCAUAGACAUUGCCUGAUGAGUGCUAAUGACUAAAUAGAGUGCACCUGUGUGUGAUCUAAUGUCAGUAUAAAUACAGCUGCUCCAUGAUGACCUCAGAGGUUGUCUAAGUCAGGGAUAAAGUUAUUGAGAAAUUUAAAGCAGGCUUAGGCUACAAAAAGAUUUCCCAAGGCUUGAACAUCCCACGGAGCACUGUUCAAGCGAUCAUUCAGAAAUGAAAGGAGUAUGGCACAACUGUAAACCUACCAAGACGAGGCCGUCCACCUAAACUCACAGGCCGAACAAGGAGAGGGGUACAAGUGUGUGUGUACCUAACCUAAUAACACACCUAAUUGUGUGUCCACCACCCUAAUUUACGAAUAAAUUCUUUACAAAUCCUACCAUGUGAAUUCAUGGAUUUUUUUUUCACAUUCUGUCUCUCACAGUUGAAGUGUACCUCUGGUGCAAAUUACUGACCUCUGUCAUCAUUUUAAGUGGGGGAACUUGCACAAUCGGUGGCUGACU
ensembl:lncRNA